rnacentral:rRNA from 1 species
GAGGAACCUGCCUUGGAGAGGGGAAUAACACUCCGAAAGGAGUGCUAAUACCGCAUGAUGCAGUUGGGUCGCAUGGCUCUGACUGCCAAAGAUUUAUCGCUCUGAGAUGGCCUCGCGUCUGAUUAGCUAGUAGGCGGGGUAACGGCCCACCUAGGCGACGAUCAGUAGCCGGACUGAGAGGUUGACCGGCCACAUUGGGACUGAGACACGGCCCAGACUCCUACGGGAGGCAGCAUG